AGAUUGAACGCUGGCGGCAUGCCUUACACAUGCAAGUCGAACGCGAAAGCGGGGCAACCCGCAAGUAGAGUGGCGAACGGGUGAGUAAUACAUCGGAACAUUUCCAGUAGCGGGGGAUAACCUGUCGAAAGAUAGGCUAAUACCGCAUACGACCUAAGGGUGAAAGCGGAGGACCGCAAGGCUUCGCACUAUUGGAGUGGCCGAUGUCGGAUUAGCUAGUUGGCGGGGUAACAGCCCACCAAGGCUACGAUCCGUAGCUGGUCUGAGAGGACGAUCAGCCACACUGGAACUGAGACACGGCCCAGACUCCGUACGGAGGCAGCAGUGGGGAAUUUUGGACAAGUGGG
rnacentral:rRNA from 1 species